AGGGAAGGGGCGGCAGCGAGCUCGCCAGGCGGCCAGGAACCCGGGUGGGGCCGGGACCGAGGCGGUGGCUGGCCAGCGGAGCUCAGGCCGGGCGCGGCGCGCCGGGUGAAGGCGGCAAGGCGGCAAGGCCCCGGCCGAGGCCGGCGGAGCCGCGCAGCUGCGGCCGGCUGACGUGAGCGGCGUGCGGGUCCCGGCCGGCAGCGCGCUGGCGGCCAUGGCGGUGGCGCUGGCGGGCCGCGGGGCGCGCGGCGGCAGGGGCCGGCCCCCGGGCGGGCGGGCGGAGGGGGCGGGGCCGGGGCGCCGGGCGGCCCGCGCGACAGCGGCGGCGAAGACGACGGAGACGGGGGGCGCUGGGGCUGAUGACAGCGGCCGGGCCCGGGGCGGCGCCGUCCCCGCGGCGGUGCGACAGCGACCCGGCCUCCCCCGGAGCGCAGUCCCCAAAGAAAAACAGUAAUAGAAAGCAAGAGAUCUGAAGUUCUGUGUUCAUCCAUGAGGAUUCUCACACUCACGUCGCCGAGGGCUCGCUCCAGACAGGAAGCUAGUUUCAUCACGCCGAGGGAGACGGCAGCAGGCUGCGAGCUUUGCAAGGCAUCAAGUAUCUCAAGAAACAACUAUUCAGAGGAAGACACACACUCGAGCUCAGAUUCAGUGAAAGAUGUUUCUCAAAGCAACAAUAAUGUUUAUUCAAUUACUAUUUCCGCACUCAAGCCUCUUAAGAUUUGAAGGUUUAAAACUUUCGGAAUAAAAAGAGUUUAUAUUGGAAAUACUAUAAUAAAGGAAAUUAUCUAACACCUAA
rnacentral:lncRNA from 1 species